rfam:Loxodonta africana unplaced genomic scaffold scaffold_0, whole genome shotgun sequence.
GCACUGGUAGCACAAUGGUUAAGUGCUUAGCUGCUAAUCAAAACAUUGGUGGUUCGAACCCACCCAAUGGCA